rnacentral:rRNA from 1 species
GAUGAACGCUGGCGGCGUGCCUAAUACAUGCAAGUCGAGCGAACGGACGAGAAGCUUGCUUCUCUGAUGUUAGCGGCGGACGGGUGAGUAACACGUGGAUAACCUACCUAUAAGACUGGGAUAACUUCGGGAAACCGGAGCUAAUACCGGAUGAUAUUUUGAACCGCAUGGUUCAAAAGUGAAAGACGGUCUUGCUGUCACUUAUAGAUGGAUCCGCGCUGCAUUAGCUAGUUGGUAAGGUAACGGCUUACCAAGGCAACGAUGCAUAGCCGACCUGAGAGGUUGAUCGCUCACACUGGAACGGAGACACGGUCCAGACUCCUACAGGAGGCAGCAGUAGGGAAUCUUACACAAUGGGCGAAAGCCUGACGGAGCAACUCCGCGUGAGUGAUGAAGGUCUUCGGAUCGUAAAACUCUGUUAUUAGGGAAGAACAUAUGUGUAAGUAACUGUGCACAUCUUGACGGUACCUAAUCAGAAAGCCACGGCUAACUACGUG